UCAAUUCCAAAGUGCUGGCUCAAACUGAUCAUGUUAGCUUGGACCCAUUCAUUGGCUGUAGCUUCAACAUCUCUUUCUUGAUUGCUGCUAUCAAUUUGGAUUGGUACCGGUUCUGAAUCUGCAUACAUGACAACCAUUGCAUCAGAGAAAUCUAUCUCCUCCCCUGUUCUCUGUUUUUUGCUUUCAGCAGUCUUCUGUAUAGCCAAAUUAUCUCCCUCUUUAAUUUUUUGUUUGUGUUUCUUGCC
rnacentral:lncRNA from 1 species